UUUGAAAGCUGGCCUUCGGGUCCGCAUUGUAAUUUGUAGAGGAUGCUUUGGGUGAAACGCCAGUCUAAGUUCCUUGGAACAGGACGUCAUAGAGGGUGAGAAUCCCGUAUGUGACUGGAAAUGUUAACCUAUGUAAAGCUCCUUCGACGAGUCGAGUUGUUUGGGAAUGCAGCUCUAAAUGGGAGGUAAAUUUCUUCUAAAGCUAAAUAUUGGCGAGAGACCGAUAGCGCACAAGUAGAGUGAUCGAAAGAUGAAAAGCACUUUGGAAAGAGAGUUAAAAAGCACGUGAAAUUGUUGAAAGGGAAGCGCUUGCAAUCAGACUUGUUUAAACUGUUCGGCCGGUCUUCUGACCGGUUUACUCAGUUUGGACAGGCCAGCAUCAGUUUCGGCGGCCGGAUAAAGGCUCUGGGAAUGUGGCCUUCACUUCGGUGAAGGUGUUAUAGCCCAGGGUGUAAUACGGCCAGCCGGGACUGAGGUCCGCGCUUCGGCUAGGAUGCUGGCGUAAUGGUUGUAAGCGACC
rnacentral:rRNA from 1 species